CCUACGGGAGGCUGCAGUGAGGAAUAUUGGUCAAUGGGGGAAACCCUGAAGCAGCAACGCCGCGUGGAGGAUGAAGGUUUUCGGAUUGUAAACUCCUUUUUUUAGAGAAGAUAAUGACGGUAUCUAACGAAUAAGCCCCGGCUAACUCCGUGCCAGCAGCCGCGGUAAUACGGAGGGUGCAAGCGUUACUCGGAAUCACUGGGCGUAAAGAGCGCGUAGGCGGGAUAGCAAGUCAGAUGUGAAAUCCUAUGGCUUAACCAUAGAACUGCAUUUGAAACUGUUAUUCUAGAGUAUGGGAGAGGUAGGUGGAAUGCUUGGUGUAGGGGUAAAAUGCGUAGAGAUCAAGAGGAAUACUCAUUGCGAAGGCGACCUGCUAGAACAUAACUGACGCUGAUGCGCGAAAGCGCGGGGAGCAAACAGGAUUAGAUACCCCUGUAGUC
rnacentral:rRNA from 1 species